UGCAGAUCUGAUCAUGCUUUCC
rnacentral:piRNA from 1 species